ACAGCAGUCGCCGCGGUAAUACGAAGGGUGCAAGCGUUACUCGGAAUUACUGGGCGUAAAGCGUGCGUAGGCGGCUUCUUAAGUCGGAUGUGAAAUCCCUGAGCUUAACUUAGGAAUUGCAUUCGAUACUGGGAAGCUAGAGUAUGGGAGAGGAUGGUAGAAUUCCAGGUGUAGCGGUGAAAUGCGUAGAGAUCUGGAGGAAUACCGAUGGCGAAGGCAGCCAUCUGGCCUAAUACUGACGCUGAGGUACGAAAGCAUGGGGAGCAAACAGGAUUAGAUACCCGCGUAGUCCCUGUCUCUUAUAC
rnacentral:rRNA from 1 species